rnacentral:rRNA from 1 species
GUUGAACGCUGGCGGAAUGCUUUACACAUGCAAGUCGAACGGUAGAGGGGGCAACCCCUCGAGAGUGGCGAACGGGUGAGUAAUAUAUCGGAACGUGCCCAGUCGUGGGGGAUAACGUAGCGAAAGUUACGCUAAUACCGCAUACGAUCUAAGGAUAAAAGCGGGGGAUCGCAAGACCUUGCGCGAUUGGAGCGGCCGAUAUCAGAUUAGGUAGUUGGUGGGGUAAAGGCUCACCAAGCCAACGAUCUGUAGCUGGUCUGAGAGGACGACCAGCCACACUGGAACUGAGACACGGUCCAGACUCCUACGGGAGGCAGCAGUGGGGAAUUUUGGACAAUGGACGCAAGUCUGAUCCAGCCAUUCCGCGUGCAGGAUGAAGGCCCUCGGGUUGUAAACUGCUUUUGUACGGAACGAAAAGGUCUCUCUUAAUACGGGGGACUCAUGACGGUACCGUAAGAAUAAGCACCGGCUAACUACGUGCCAGCCGCCGCGGUAACAC